CUACGUGCCAGCAGCCGCGGUAAUACGGAAGGUCCAGGCGUUAUCCGGAUUUAUUGGGUUUAAAGGGAGCGUAGGCCGUGGAUUAAGCGUGUUGUGAAAUGUAGACGCUCAACGUCUGAAUUGCAGCGCGAACUGGUUCACUUGAGUAUGCACAACGUAGGCGGAAUUCGUCGUGUAGCGGUGAAAUGCUUAGAUAUGACGAAGAACUCCGAUUGCGAAGGCAGCUUACGGGAGCACAACUGACGCUGAAGCUCGAAGGUGCGGGUAUCAAACAGGAUUAGAUACCCUGGUAGUCCGCACAGUAAACGAUGGAUGCCCGUUGUUAGUUCACCUAAGAAUUAGCGACCAAGCGAAAGCAUUAAGCAUCCCACCUGGGGAGUACGCCGGCAACGGUGAAACUCAAAGGAAUUGACGGGGGCCCGCACAAGCGGAGGAACAUGUGGUUUAAUUCGAUGAUACGCGAGGAACCUUACCCGGGCUUGAAUUGCAGACGAACGAUUCAGAGAUAGAUAUUCA
rnacentral:rRNA from 1 species